AUGGCUCAUCCUGAAGUCCAAUGCAUGAGGACAACAUAUGGUUAUUUCAUACCAGGACCUGGCUUCCAACAAUGUCAGAAACUUGUCCUUCAAAAGUCACCCACUGAGGAAAGCAGAUUCUUCUGCAGGAUGUGAAGGGGAAACAUGAGGGAAGGAUUCCUGGGUACCAGAGAGAUCUGCCAUUCAGAUUGCCUGCUAACACUGGGCUUGAUUAAUGGAAACCAAGCAUUUUCAAGGAUAGCCUCCAGCCUUGUUCCCUUGGCAGAAAUCAGAGAUUUGAAAGCUGCAAUACAAC